rnacentral:rRNA from 1 species
AACGAACGCUGGCGGCAUGCCUAACACAUGCAAGUCGAACAAGACCUUCGGGUCUAGUGGCGCACGGGUGCGUAACGCGUGGGAACCUGCCCUUAGGUUCGGAAUAACUCCCCGAAAGGGGUGCUAAUACCGGAUAAUGUCUUCGGACCAAAGAUUUAUCGCCUUUGGAUGGGCCCGCGUUGGAUUAGCUAGUUGGUAGGGUAAAAGCCUACCAAGGCGACGAUCCAUAGCUGGUAUGAGAGGAUGAUCAGCCACACUGGGACUGAGAAACGGCCCGGACUCCUACGGGAGGCAGCAGAGGGGGAUAGUGGAAAACGGGCGGAGGCCUGAUCCGGCAAUGCCGGGUGAAUGAUGAAGGCCUUAGGGUAGUAAAGCGCUUUUAACCGGGAUGAUAAUGACGGUACCGGGAGAAUAAGCCCCGGCUAACUCCGUG